rnacentral:rRNA from 1 species
GAUGAACGCUGGCGGCGUGCUUAACACAUGCAAGUCGAACGAUGAAGCCCAGCUUGCUGGGUGGAUUAGUGGCGAACGGGUGAGUAACACGUGAGUAACCUGCCCUUGACUCUGGGAUAAGCCCGGGAAACUGGGUCUAAUACCGGAUAGGAGCGCCUGUCGCAUGACGGGUGUUGGAAAGAUUUUUCGGUCAUGGAUGGACUCGCGGCCUAUCAGCUUGUUGGUGAGGUAAUGGCUCACCAAGGCGACGACGGGUAGCCGGCCUGAGAGGGUGACCGGCCACACUGGGACUGAGACACGGCCCAGACUCCUACGGGAGGCAGUAGUGGGGAAUAUUGCACAAUGGGCGGAAGCCUGAUGCAGCGACGCCGCGUGAGGGAUGACGGCCUUCGGGUUGUAAACCUUCUUUCAGUAGGGAAGAA